rnacentral:rRNA from 1 species
GCAUGUUCGUAGUAGUUAAAGAUGGCCUCUACAUGUAAGCUGUCGCUUAAAGAUGGUCCCGCGUCCUAUUAGCUUGUUGGUGGGGUAACGGCUCACCAAGGCUCCGAUGGGUAGCCGGCCUGAGAGGGUGGUCGGCCACACUGGGACUGAGAUACGGCCCAGACUCCUACGGGAGGCAGCAGUCGAGAGGCUUCGGCAAUGGGGGAAAACCCUGACCGAGCGACGUCGCGUGGGUGAUGAAGAUUCUUGGAUCGUAAAACCCUGUCAGGUGGGAUGAAAUGCCAUUGGAUCAAUACCCCAGUGGUUUGACAGUACCACCAGAGGAAGCUCCGGCUAACUCCGUG